AGCAACGUAACACCAAGCCUUCAUUAACAAUUUUCAAACCUCACUUCUUCUCGCUCAAGAACGAAACUGAAACAAACAAAGGUGAAGAAAAAAAGGCUCAAAAAUCACUUCAAUCUUCGAAAUCAACAUCCAUCAUUCAAUUCAAUUCAUCUGGCGCACGCGGAAUCAAAAAGAAAUGAAAACGAAUUUGAAGCAAGAACUCAAUGAAUCAGAGUUUCGACAUGAACAGGGCCAAUUGAAACUGGCUUUAUUAGAAUUUGAUGCGAAUUGGAAUUUGGCUUGUGAAACUAAUUGGCUGCAUUUGGCAAUUGUUUUUGCAGGUGAAUGAGUUUGGAAGGUUUUUGGAAUAUUGUUGAUCAUAAGCUAUGCUUGGAAUGGAUUUGGAUUGUUAUAUUGACUUGAUUGUGUUGUAAUUUUGAAGUUGAAAUAUGUGAAGUGUAUUGAAUACUGUAACUUGUAAUCAAUGGUUGAAUGUUGGUUUGUGGUAUUGAAUAAUGUACAUGGAAUUGAAUGAAGAUGAAUGUAUUUGGGUAUUGAACAUGUAUGGCUUAUGUAUUUGAAAAUGGAAAUUGAAUGGUUGAAUGAAAUAUUGGAAUCAA